CUGGAGGCCAGGGCUGAGGGGAGGCCCGGAGCAGAGCCGGUGCGCGACCCUGCAGUGAGCAGGGAGGGCAGUCUGGGGACGUUCGCCAUCUUGAGAGCCUCUGCUCCCCGCCGCCCUGAGGCUCCGGGCUCCCCUGUUCCUCCCUCCGAGAGACCCUGCCCGUCCUCCCCGCGGGGCUCCCUCGCAGCUCGGGGGAAGGGGCGGGUUGCGUCCUCGGGACCUUUCUCAGCAGCCACAGCAGCGCAUCCCAACACCUCCUCCAGGAGCCCCGCCACCUCCUGCCACCCGGACUUUCCCCACAGCGCAGCGUCCCCUCGUCCUCUCAGGGCUGGAACAGCGGUACCCGCAGACAGUGCAAAAGGGAAGUCCCUGUUGCCUUCCCAUGCAAACUGUAGGGCGCUUACAGCUGCUGGGAGAGGAAAGGAAAGAAGAAAUACAAGCCUGUGACCCGGAUCCAGCCCGCGGCGCACAGACCCCGGCUCUGGGCACCCCUGGUGAGCGCCUUCUGCGCCAGAGCUCCGUACAGCACCAGCCCGCACUCUCCCCCAGCUUCUGUUCAUUUGUUGCAGUCCUAACGGGUCAGUUGCCUGAACAUCCAUGCUGCCAGGUGACAAACCCAGGCACGCAGAGAUGUACAUCCUUUACCCAGGGUGACACCAUGUGGAGCUGAAUCCAAGUCCGGGAGUCUGAUGACCGUGUCUGGGCUCUGACCGCGCAGCCGUCUCACAGUGAAACAAAUUGCGGACUGGCCUUGUCCUGAGUGGCAUUAGGAAGCUGCAGUGGCCUGCAGUCUCCUGGCCAGUCUGUAGAAUGUGGCAAAGAUGAGGCACCUUGUAGCCUUACAUGUUCUUAUUUUUCUUUCCUUUUCUCUUCUUUAUUUUCUUUUUUAAGGAUUUGAAUUAAUAUAUGUAAAGUGCUUAACGCAGGAGCUGGCAGAGAAAGUGGAUACUCAGUAAAUAACAGCAAUUGUUAAUUGUAAAAAGCAUGUCAUUUAACUGGUAAAAUCCCCCAUUCUAAGCACCCUGUUAAGUAGUUGGUAAUUCCUCACUUGAAAGAAAUUAAAAAGAAUUUUUGUCAGUUUUUAAAAA
rnacentral:lncRNA from 1 species